GACCCGGCUUUUCCAAUCAAUUUGGGAAAUUAGAGUAAAAAGCCCUAGUCUGAUGUUUUGAAAGGCCAACAGAAGAAGAAGUCCAUCCCUCCCAAUCGCCAUGAAAUUUCCUUACAUAUGCCCUCUAUGUAAAUUCAUAUGGUCCUGAUGAGAUGCUAUUUUCGAACUUGAAUUGAAUGGAAGAGAGCUGUGAAAUCAUCGAAAAACACAGAUGUGGAUCGUGAGCUAACCAAGUUCAUAAAUAACUGCAAUGAAGUAAAAGCUGCUAAGAUGACAAGGGAAACUCGCUGUCACUAUCCAAUGGUAUGCAUUGAGUAAACCCCACCUUGUGACUCUAACCACUAGAGGACUACAAGGAGGUAAAUCACCUUAAAUUGUCUAUAGUUAACCGGCUCAAACUAAAAAAUUAAGUAGGCGACUCUUACUAGGAGUCGAACUUGAAAUAUUGUGAUUACCAAGCCAACAAUCUGACUAAUUUAGUUGGGUUACAAAAAAAAAAAAAAAAAAAAACUGCUACUAUUGCUACUAAGGAUGGUGGUCGGUUAAGCAUAGUUAAGCCACAGCCAACAACCUUAGUUAUCAAGCCAACAACCUGACUAACUUAGUUGGGUUAUUAAAAAAAAAAAAAGCUGCUACUAUUGCUACUAAGGAUGGUGGUUGGUUAAGCAUAGUUAAGCCACAGCCCGAGUCCUCCAAUGCAGCAAAGUAGAUUCUCAUCAGCUAGUGGUUUAAAAGGAGCAAAGGGAGUUAUUUACUGUUUACAUGUAAAAGCCAAAUUUUGACCAUUUUCAUAGUGUUAAAAGCUCUGUUUUAGAAGCAUGUUCUGUUUCCAUUACUAUGAAAAUCUCUUCUGCUGUGUUUAUCCUUCCUGGUCUGCUCUUCAUUCAAGUGAUGAAAUUCCUGAACUGAUUUUCCCAAACCUAGGAAUUCUUCAUAGUUUCAAUAUAUUUGAAUCCUACACAGUUUCCUUUUUCUUUAUAUUUUAUACAGAACUUAAAAUUGGUAAAUACUGAAAUACUAUCAUGUGCUUUGCCUUUUAUCUUCUGCCUAUCCUCUGUUCAACAGCUAUGGUCUUGUACUAUUUUUUGGCAGAGUUAUCCGUUGCUGACUGUGUUUGGCUCUGGUUAAUUCAGGGGCUGUCUCCUACGGUCCUACCUAACCGUUGGACUUCUGGGUAGUUGUGCAGGGGAAAAUGCAGCCUUAUGUUACCUUUCUAUUUGGAUACCUAAUAUAGAAGUUAACUUCUUUUUCUUUUUGAAAACAAUUUAGAAGUUAACUUAAAACUUA